rnacentral:rRNA from 1 species
AGAGUUUGAUCCUGGCUCAGGACGAACGCUGGCGGCGUGCCUAACACAUGCAAGUCGAGCGAAUGAAGUUCCUUCGGGAACGGAUUUAGCGGCGGACGGGUGAGUAACACGUGGGCAACCUGCCUCAUAGAGGGGAAUAGCCUUCCGAAAGGGAGAUUAAUACCGCAUAAGAUUGUAGUACCGCAUGGUACAGCAAUUAAAGGAGCAAUCCGCUAUGAGAUGGGCCCGCGGCGCAUUAGCUAGUUGGUGAGGUAACGGCUCACCAAGGCGACGAUGCGUAGCCGACCUGAGAGGGUGAUCGGCCACAUUGGGACUGAGAUACGGCCCAGACUCCUACGGGAGGCAGCAGCUAAGAAUAUUCCACAAUGGACGAAAGUCUGAUGGAGCGACGCCGCGUGGAUGAUGAAGGCCGAAAGGUUGUAAAAUCCUUUUACACUGGAGGAAUAAGCAGAGUAGGGAAUGACUCUGUGAUGACUGUACAGUUUGAAUAAGCAACGGCUAAUUACGUGCCAGCAGCCGCGGUAACACGUAAGUUGCGAGCGUUGUUCGGAAUUAUUGGGCGUAAAGGGCAUGUAGGCGGAUUUGCAAGCUUGAUGUGAAAUCCCGCAGCUUAACUGCGGAACUGCAUUGGGAACUGCAAGACUAGAGUUACUGAGGGGAAACUAGAAUUCCAAGUGUAGGGGUGAAAUCUGUAGAUAUUUGGAAGAAUACCAAUGGCGAAGGCAAGUUUCUGGCAGAUAACUGACGCUGAGGUGCGAAGGUGCGGGGAGCAAACAGGAUUAGAUACCCUGGUAGUCCGCACAGUAAACGAUAACGGUAGGUGUUGACCAUGAGGGUGAGGCCCAUAGCUAACGCAAUAAAUGUACCGCCCGGGAAGAUAAGCCCGCAAGGGGUGAAAUUCAAAAGGAAUUGACGGGGGCCCGCACAAGCGGUGGAGCAUGUGGUUUAAUUUGAUGGUACGCGAGGAACCUUACCUGGGUUUGACAUAUACUGGAAUGUUAUAGAGAUAUAGCAGCGUAGCAAUACGCCGGUAUACAGGUGCUGCAUGGCUGUCGUCAGCUCGUGCCGUGAGGUGUUGGGUUAAGUCCCGCAACGAGCGCAACCCACGUUUCUAGUUGCUACCCGCAAGGGAGCUCUCUAGAGAGACUGCCGGGGACAACCCGGAGGAAGGUGUGGAUGACGUCAAGUCCUCAUGGCCCUUACAUCCUGGGCUACACACGUGCUACAAUGGCGUAAACAAAGGGGAGGGAAGCGGCGACGCGGAGCAAAUCCCAAAAAGACGUCCCAGUUCAGAUUGCAGGCUGCAACCCGCCUGCAUGAAGUCGGAAUUGCUAGUAAUCGUAAAUCAGAAUGUUACGGUGAAUAAAAUCCCGGGCUUUGCACACACCGCCCGUCAA